GACAGAGGGGGCAGCGUGUCUCUCGGAAUUACUGGGCGUAAAGGGCGCGUAGGUGGUGAGGUAAGUCGGAUGUGAAAGCUCCAAGCUCAACUUGGAAAUGGCAUUGGAAACUACCUUGCUAGAGGGUUUGAGGGGGGACUGGAAUACUUGGUGUAGCAGUGAAAUGCGUAGAUAUCAAGUGGAACACCAGUGGCGAAGGCGAGUCCCUGGAAAACUCCUGACACUGAGGCACGAAAGCUAGGGGAGCAAACAGG
rnacentral:rRNA from 1 species